UGAUUUUGAUUUUAUUUUAAUUAAUUAUUUAUAUAUUGUAUUAAAUAUAAGUUUUUGCGUGGUUAUAUUUUAAUCUAAAGGGUUAAAUUUUAUUUAUAGUUUUUAAUUUUUAUUUAUUCCAUAAAUGUAUAUUUAAGCUAUUUUUAUUAAAACUGUUUAAGAUUGUGCCAGCAAACGCGGUUACACAAUUAGUUUAGAUCAAUUUUUUUGGUUUGUAUUUAUUUAUUCUGUUAGGGAUUAAUUUAUUUUUAUUAGGUGGAAUUAUUAAUUUUGGUUAUAUUCUCUUGGUCAAAGAAUUAUAUAUAAUUUAGGAUUAUUAAACUAGGAUUAGAUACCCUAUUAUUCUAAAUGUAAAGUCAGGGCCAUAGGAUUAAUAGUUAUGAUCUUUAAAUUAAAAGAAUUUGGCGGUAAUUUAGUCUUUUCAGAGGAACCUGUCCUGUAAUCGAUGAUCCACGUUGGAUUCAACUUUAGUUUUAGCUUGUAUAUCUCUGUG
rnacentral:rRNA from 1 species